rnacentral:rRNA from 1 species
GACGAACGCUGGCGGCGCGCUUAACACAUGCAAGUCGAACGGGAUUUAGUAAACAGAAACCUCGGUGGAAGAUUACUAAUGAGAGUGGCGAACGGGUGAGUAACGCGUGAGCAACCUGCCUAUGACAGUGGGAUAGCCUCGGGAAACCGGGAUUAAUACCGCAUAAAAUCGUAGAAACACAUGUUUUAACGGUCAAAGAUUUAUCGGUCAUAGAUGGGCUCGCGUCUGAUUAGCUAGUUGGUGAGAUAACAGCCCACCAAGGCGACGAUCAGUAGCCGGUCUGAAAGGAUGAACGGCCACAUUGGAACUGAGACACGGUCCAAACUCCUACGGGAGGCAGCAGUGGGGAAUAUUGCACAAUGGGGGAAACCCUGAUGCAGCGACGCCGCGUGAACGAAGAAGGUAUUCGUAUCGUAAAGUUCUGUCCUAUGGGAAGAUAAUGACAGUACCAUAGAAGAAAGCUCCGGCUAAAUACGUG